GUAGGUGAACCUGCGGAAGGAUCAUUACGUAUGGUAGGCCGGUCUGACCGGUUCUAUUCAACCCUGUUUUUUGCGCACCCUUUGUUUCCUCGGCAGGCUUGCCUGCCAGUAGGACCUUUUCAACUCUUCAUGUCAAAGCAAUCAGCGUCAAACAAACAAACAAUGGUAACAACUUUCAACAACGGAUCUCUUGGUUCUG
rnacentral:misc_RNA from 1 species